rnacentral:tRNA from 1 species
GCCCGGAUGGUGGAAUUGGUAGACACAGGAGACUUAAAAUCUCCCGAUCGCACAGAUCGUGCCGGUUCAACUCCGGCUCCGGGCACCA